rnacentral:rRNA from 1 species
UACGUAGGGUGCGAGCGUUGUCCGGAAUUAUUGGGCGUAAAGAGCUCGUAGGCGGUUUGUCGCGUCUGCUGUGAAAACCCGAGACUCAACCUCGGGCCUGCAGUGGGUACGGGCAGACUAGAGUGCGGUAGGGGAGAUUGGAAUUCCUGGUGUAGCGGUGGAAUGCGCAGAUAUCAGGAGGAACACCAAUGGCGAAGGCAGAUCUCUGGGCCGUAACUGACGCUGAGGAGCGAAAGCAUGGGGAGCGAACAGG